rnacentral:rRNA from 1 species
GACGUAGGGCGCAAGCGUUGUCCGGAUUUAUUGGGCGUAAAGAGCUCGUAGGCGGCCUGUCGCGUCGACCGUGAAAACCCGCAGCUCAACUGCGGGCUUGCGGUCGAUACGGGCAGGCUGGAGUUCGGUAGGGGAGACUGGAAUUCCUGGUGUAGCGGUGAAAUGACGCAGAUAUCAGGAGGAACACCGGUGGCGAAGGCGGGUCUCUGGGCCGAUACUGACGCUGAGGAGCGAAAAGCGUGGGGGAGCGAAACAGG